AUUGAACGCUGGCGGCAUGCUUUACACAUGCAAGUCGAACGGUAACAGGGUGCUUGCACCGCUGACGAGUGGCGAACGGGUGAGUAAUGCGUCGGAACGUGCCGAGUAGUGGGGGAUAACGCAGCGAAAGUUGUGCUAAUACCGCAUACGUACUGAGGUAGAAAGUGGGGGACCUUCGGGCCUCACGCUAUUCGAGCGGCCGACGUCUGAUUAGCUAGUAGGUGAGGUAAAGGCUCACCUAGGCGACGAUCAGUAGCGGGUUUGAGAGGAUGAUCCGCCACACGGGGACUGAGACACGGCCCAGACUCCGACGGGAGGCAGCGGUGGGGUAUUUUGGACAAGGGGGGAAAGCCUGAUCCAGCCAUGCCGCGUGUCUGAAGAAGGCCUUCGGGUUGUAAAGGACUUUUGUCAGGGAGGAAAUCCCUAGUGCUAAUAACACUGGGGGAUGACAGUACCUGAAGAAUAAGCACCGGCUAACUACGUGCCAGCAGCCGCAGUAA
rnacentral:rRNA from 1 species